AUGGCGGCGGUGAAAACCCUGAAGGCCAAGGCCAAGGUGGCCCGAGCGCAGGCGGCGCUGGCGGUCAACAUCAGCGCCGCGCGGGGUCUGCAGGAAGUGCUAAGGACCAACCUGGGACCCAAGGGCACCGUGAAGAUGCUGCUUUCUGGCGCUGGAGAAAUCGAACUUACUAAAGACGACAAUGUGCUGCUUCACGAAAUGCAAAUUCAAUAUCCAACAGCUUCCUUAAUAGCAAAGGUAGCAACAGGCCAGGAUGAUAUAACUGGUGAUGGUACGACUUCCAAUGUGCUAAUCAUUGGAGAGCUACUGAAACAGGCGGAUCUCUACAUUUCUGAAGGCCUUCAUCCUUGAAUAAUUGCUGAAGGAUUUGAAACCGCAAAGGAAAAGGCCCUUCAGUUUUUGGAAGAAGUCAAAGUAAGCAGAGAGAUGGACAGGGAAACACUUAUAGAUGUGGCCAGAACAUCUCUUUGUACUAAAGUUCAUGCUGAACUUGUAGAUGUCUUAAUAGAGGCUGUAGUGGACUCCAUUUUGGCCAUUAAAAAACAAGAUGAACCUAUUGAUCUCUUCAUGAUUGAGAUCAUGGAGAUGAAACAUAAAUCUGAAACUGAUACAACCUUAAUCAGAAGGCUUUAUGAAAAAACAGAAGUGAAUUCUGGCUUUUUUUUUUUUUACAAAAGUGCAGAAGAGAGAGAAAAACUCCUAAAAGCUUAAAGAAAAUUCAUUGAAGAUAGAGUUUAAAAAAAAUAGAACUGAAAAGGAAAGUCUGUGGUGAUUCAGAUAAAGGAUUUGUUGUUAUUAAUCAAAAGGGGAUUGACCCCUUUUCCUUAGAUGCUCUUUCAAAAGAAGGCAUCGUCACUCUGCGCAGAGCUAAAAGGAGAAAUAUGGAGAGGCUGACUCUUGCCUGUGGUGGGGUAGCCCUGAAUUAUUUUGACAACCUAAGUCCUGGCUGCUUGGGACAUGCAGGACUUGUAUAUAAGUAUACAUUGGAAGAAGAGAAGUUCACCUUUAUUGAGAAAUGUAACAACCCUCAUUCUGUCACUUUAUUGAUCAAAGGACCAAAUAAACACACACUCACUCAGAUCAAAGAUGCAGUGAGGGAUGGCUUGAGGGCUGUCAAAAAUGCUAUUGAUGAUGGCUGUGUGGUUCCAGGUGCUGGUGCUGUGGAAGUGGCUAUGGCAGAAGCCCUGAUUAAAUAUAAGCCCAGUGUAAAGGGCAGGGAACAGCUUGGAGUCCAAGUAUUUGCUGAUGCGUUGCUCAUUAUUCCCAAGGUUCUUGCUCAGAACUCUGGUUUUGACCUUCAGGAAACAUUAGCUAAAAUUCAAGCAGAACAUUCAGAAUCAGGUCAGCUUGUGGGUGUGGACCUGAACACAGGUGAGCCAAUAGUACCAGCAGAAGUAGGCGUAUGGGAUAACUAUUGUUUAAAGAAACAGCUUCUUCAUUCCUGCACUGUGAUUGCCACCAACAUUCUCUUGAUUGAUGAGAUCAUGAGAGCUGGAAUAUCUUCUCUGAAAGGUUGAAUUGAAGCUUCCUCUGUAUCUGAGUCUUGAAGACUCUGCAAAGUGAUCCUGAGGAAUACAGCUGUGGAAUUUGUGUCCAAGCUUCAAAUGGAUUUUUCCCAUAUGAAAAAGGAGAGAACGCUGGCAUCUGUUGAAAUUUGGAAGUUCUGAAAUUAUACUAUUUU